rnacentral:rRNA from 1 species
UACGUAGGGAGCAAGCGUUGUCCGGAAUCAUUGGGCGUAAAGCGCGCGUAGGUGGCCUCGUAAGUCCGCUGUGAAAGUCAAAGGCUCAACCUUUGAAAGCCGGUGGAUACUGUGGGGCUAGAGUACGGAAGAGGCGAGUGGAAUUCCUGGUGUAGCGGUGGAAUGCGCAGAUAUCAGGAGGAACACCAAUAGCGAAGGCAGCUCGCUGGGACGUAACUGACACUGAGGCGCGAAAGCGUGGGGAGCGAACAGG